GACGAACGCUGGCGGCGUGCUUAACACAUGCAAGUCGAACGGUAAGGCCCUUCGGGGUACACGAGUGGCGAACGGGUGAGUAACACGUGGGUGAUCUGCCCUGCACCUCGGGAUAAGCCUGGGAAACUGGGUCUAAUACCGGAUAGGACUCCGGACUGCAUGGUCUGGGGUGGAAAGCUUUUUCGGUGUGGGAUGGGCCCGCGGGCUAUCAGCUUGUUGGUGGGGUGAUGGCCUACAAAGGCGACGACGGGUAGUCGGCCUGAGAGGGUGACCGGCCACACUGGGACUGAGAUACGGCCCAGACUCCUACGGGAGGCAGCAGUGGGGAAUAUUGCACAAUGGGCGCAAGCCUGAUGCAGCGACGCCGCGUGAGGGAUGACGGCCUUCGGGUUGUAAACCUCUUUCAGCAUCGACGAAGCGAAAGUGACGGUAGGUGCAGAAGAAGGACCGGCCAACUACGUGCCAGCAGCCGCGGUAA
rnacentral:rRNA from 1 species